AUUGAACGCUGGCGGCAUGCUUUACACAUGCAAGUCGAACGGUAACAGGCCGCAAGGUGCUGACGAGUGGCGCACGGGUGAGUAAUGCAUCGGAACGUGCCCAGUCGUGGGGGAUAACUACUCGAAAGAGUAGCUAAUACCGCAUACGAUCUAUGGAUGAAAGCGGGGGACCGUAAGGCCUCGCGCGAUUGGAGCGGCCGAUGUCAGAUUAGGUAGUUGGUGGGGUAAAGGCUCACCAAGCCAACGAUCUGUAGCUGGUCUGAGAGGACGACCAGCCACACUGGGACUGAGACACGGCCCAGACUCCUACAGGAGGCAGCAGUGGGGAAUUUUGGACAAUGGGCGCAAGCCUGAUCCAGCAAUGCCGCGUGCAGGAAGAAGGCCUUCGGGUUGUAAACUGCUUUUGUACGGAGCGAAACGGCUCUGGUUAAUACCCGGGGCUAAUGACGGUACCGUAAGAAUAAGCACCGGCUAACUACGUG
rnacentral:rRNA from 1 species